rnacentral:sRNA from 1 species
UGGUAAGAAGCUUCUCAUU